rnacentral:rRNA from 1 species
GACGAAGGGGGCUAGCGUUGUUCGGAAUUACUGGGCGUAAAGCGCGUGUAGGCGGUUAUCCAAGUCAGGUGUGAAAGCCUUGAGCUCAACUCAAGAAAUGCACUUGGUACUGGGUGACUAGAGGACCGGAGAGGAUAGUGGAAUUCCCAGUGUAGUGGUGAAAUACGUGGAGAUUGGGAAGAACACCAGUGGCGAAGGCGGCUAUCUGGACGGUUUCUGACGCUAAGACGCGAAAGCGUGGGGAGCAAACAGG